CCUACGGGAGACAGCAGUGGGGAAUAUUGCACAAUGGGCGAAAGCCUGAUGCAGCGACGCCGCGUGAGUGAUGAAGGAUUUCGGUAUGUAAAGCUCUAUCAUCAGGGAAGAAAAUGACGGUACCUGACUAAGAAGCCACGGCUAACUACGUGCCAGCAGCCGCGGUAAUACGUAGGGGGCAAGCGUUAUCCGGAUUUACUGGGAGUAAAGGGAGCGUAGGUGGCAUAACAAGUCAGAAGUGAAAGCCCGGGGCUCAACCGCGGGGCUGCAUUUGAAACUGUUAAGCUUGAGUGCAGGAGAGGAAAGCGGAAUUCCUAGUGUAGCGGUGAAAUGCGUAGAGAUUAGGAGGAACACCAGUGGCGAAGGCGGUUUACUGGACUGUAACUGACGCUGAGGCUCGAAAGCGUGGGGAGCAAACAGGAUUAGAUACCCUAGUAGUC
rnacentral:rRNA from 1 species